rnacentral:rRNA from 1 species
GACGAACCGAGCGAACGUUGUUCGGAAUCACUGGGCUUAAAGGGCGCGUAGGCGGGCUGCCGCGUCCGGGGUGAAAUCCUCCGGCUCAACCGGGGAACGGCCUCGGAUACGGGCGGCCUCGAGGGGGGUAGGGGCAUCUGGAACUGUGGGUGGAGCGGUGAAAUGCGUAGAGAUCCGGAGGAACACCGACGGCGCAGGCAGCGUCCUGGCCGCUUGCUGACACUGAGGCACGAAAGCUGGGGGAGCAAACAGG